AACACGUUGGAACCUGCCCCAAAGUGAGGAUAAGCCACCGAAAGGUGGUCUAAUACUUCAUAAUAUCCAUCUCGUAUGGAUUAAAGCUUUAUGCGCUUUGGGAGGGCCUGCGUAACAUUAGCUUGUUGGUGAGGUAAAAGCUCACCAAGGCUUCGAUGUUUAACUGGUUUGAGAGGAUGACCAGUCACACUGGGACUGAGAUACGGCCCAGACUCCUACGGGAGGCAGCAGUAAGGAAUCUUCCACAAUGGGGCAACCUGAUGGAGCAAUACCGCGUGCAGGAUGAAGCGUUUCGGCGUGUAAACUGCUUUUAUCACCGAAGAUUAUGACUGUAGGUGAAGAAUAAGGACCGGCUAACUACGUG
rnacentral:rRNA from 1 species